UCCUAGAAUAUCCCUGAAGAUGUCUGACAGUCGAGAAGGGCCAGGCUGCCCGAAGAUUCCUACUUGCUUUUAGCCACCUUCCAACAGGCCAUCUCCAGCCAGCAAUUUGAAGCACAGAUGAAAUGAAAACUCCCCCAAGUGUGGAGAUCUUAGGAGCUUCCUAGAAGGUGGGACGUUUAUGAUGAUAGGCAUCUUGCUGGGAUCCCAGGGGAGUCUGAGCUGGCCUGAAGCUCAUCUUCCUCCUCCACCUCUCAAGAGAAAUGUGGAGGAAAGAAGACUUCAAAAACUUAAAUCUGACAGCCCUACUGAUGAUCCACAAUGGAGGCAGUUCAGGAGCGGUACAUGCUGGCUCUCGGACAGUCAGAAAUGGCUUCAGCAGAUCCAGAGCGAGAGCAGUGCCGAGGCCCUAGAAAUGCCAUGGAUAUUCUGAGCUGUCAGUGGCAUUUCCCAGUCAGCUAGGCACUGUGAGUUCACUGCAUUAGGAAGGUAAAGACUCAGCCGAAAUGAGGGAGAAAAAAAGAAAAUUCUCAGCUUUGGAAUGUUCAAAACAGAGGCCACAGUAGAACAGACCACGGCAUUCUGUCUGCUACUCUCCCGAGGGUCCUUUCUUCUCCCUGGAAGGGAUCAAACAACUGAGGUAGAACAGGAAGAGACAAGCAGCACUCCAAGCUCUGCUGGUCAGGGUCACCCUCCAGCGUUGCCUUAAUGCUCAGAGCCAGACACACCACAGUGAGCUUGGCUCCAGAUCAACUACCACGCAACGAAGGUUCUGGAACACUUCCAUAUCUCAGGGGACCUCAUUUCCACGUGACUCUCUUUCAUAUUCCCCUUUGUCACAGAAGGCUAGGUACAGUGGUCCGGGUGAGAUCUCAGCUCAGGCCAAAGGCUCUCAGACCUCAAAGUUCUGGUCCUGCAAGGGCCCCUGUCCUCUCUUCAGACCACUCCUGGCUCUCUCUGCCGACAAGGAGCUGCUGGUGGUACGUCCUCUAAGAGUUGAGGUCCAUCGUGCAGACCCUGAGAAAACUCCUAGGAAAAGGCUCCACCUUCUUGUUGAAGUCAGCAGAGCUCAAUUCCUUUGGAAGUGCUGGGUGUGUCCCAAGUUGAUGCAAGUGCAGAGCCAUUAGGUAAACCAGCACAUGUGUGCGGCCCCUUCCCUUAGACUCCUCUGGGCCCUCGUGACAUAGGCUCAGAAGAGUGCCAGCCUCAAGCCUUACCUCUUCCAAGGCCACACCGUCUCCAGGAUCUUCUGUCCCAUGAAUCUCAGUAGCUGUGUGGAACUCAAAAGAGAGAAAAGACCCUGCCUGCGGUGUCUCUUCGGGCUGGGGCCUACUUGCUUCUCUUCCUCGUCCUCCUCGUCCUCGUCCUCCUCGUCCUCCUCGUCCUCCUCCUCGGGGUGAUCUCGGAUUCCACAUUGCCCAUCCACUGGGCCAUGUUGAGAUGAAAGAUACGGCAGCUGAAGCCCUCCAGGACGCCGCCCUUCACGUGCUGCUGGAGGAUCUCCAAGGUGUGGAAGACCCGGCAGCAGGCCAUGCACCUGAAGCCGGUCUCCAUGGUCACCAUCCAGUCCGGUGUCUUGGCCCUGGGUCUCUCCUCGAUGGCAGGUGACCCUGAUGGGCUGCCUGGCUCUGCCCUUUCCUCAUACUCUUUCUCCUCCCCAGUGGGCUCACUGUCAGACAGGAGGUUUUCGGUGGACACAUCAGAGGGGUAAGUGCCUACUGUGCACGCAUCCUCAGGAAGGGUCACUUCUUCUAUCGUCAGCUGCUUUUCAGGCAACUCCAAGGGUUUCUUUGUCUUCCAGGAGACAGCUACACCCUUGUUCACUUGUACCUGCAUGUAGUAUAUUUUCAUGCCCCUUUCCUCUUUGUCUGGGUGCAGAUUGUUCUUACAGGGUGAAGAGGGUGAGGAGGAGACACAGUGUGAUGGGGGAGCGGUCUCUCCUUCUUCCUGAUCCUGGGCUAGGGGUGCUGUAGGCUGGGCAGUGUCUCGAUAUGAUCUCCGGAUUCCUGAAAAAGGAAAUUAAAAACAUAAUAACAUGCAUGGGCCAUGCCGGAAGCUGAGGGAGCAGGUGUGGUAGACGAGAGAGGGACAUUUGCAUGACGUAGCUAUGUCGUGAGCUUGGUGUCUGUUGGCCGAAGGAUGGAGCGGUGUAUCUGGUGUCAUCUGUGGGCUUUUCAUGUGCGUGUGGGGGGAUACUGGAGCGGUGUCUGUAUACAGGGGUGUGGAGUAUGGUGGGUGAGGGCUGUGGUAUGUGAGCGACGCGGGUGGAUGCGUGUACGACGAGGAGUGUGAGUUUGGGAACAUCGGUGGUGCAUUACUUGUGGAAUGGGGCUGUGGUGCUUGGGGUUUCUGUGUGCACUGAGAAGGGCUGUGCCUGGAGGGCGGAUGUAUGUGUGAGCUGUGUGGACCUGAGCUGGAGGGUCCUGCUCUCAGGCUGGAGGUCUAUGAUGCAGAACUCUGUCCUUCUCUGGAAGCAAAGGCAAAGAGAAACCCUACAUUUUCCUCUGAAGAUGCUUAAUCUGGUCCCUCUUCCCUCCACCUCAAGCCCAGACCUUUCCGGCCCCUGCUCCUUGACUUCCCCACCAUGGUAGUACCAGGAUUCACACCCGGCACCCCCCCGCCCCCGACUCAGCUGGUAUCCACACCCUCGUAACAGCUCAGCCAUCCUGCCCAGGCUCCUCCACAGAGCCCUCAUCACCUCUGAUGACCCUGGGUUUCCUCUCAGCCUCCCUGGGAUCUGUGUGCCUCCUGCCUCACAGCCAAGAAGCCCCUCACCUGAGGAGCCCCACGCCCUUACCAGCGUAGAUGAGCUUGCACUGAGAAGAAGCACACGAGAAGUGUUUAGGGGCAGAGGAGACCUCCCCUGCCCCUGGGCUGCAGCCUUGGGCCACGACAGUGGAUCCAAGGUGAGGGAGAUCCUCUUGUGACUUCGAGAUUCCUGAGGGAGGAAUGAAAGGCUCACGGUGGGUUCAUCAGUCCUCUGUCCAGAAGUAUUUACCGAGUGUCUGGCACAUGUCAGUUGCAGUGAAUACACACAGUUGAGAGUGUGGUUCCCAGUGGAUACUCCAGUAUUUAAUUCAAAUCAGUACUUACUCUGUCACUGUCUUGUUGGUAAUGUAGGCCUCGGUGGUGACUGUGAGUAUGUGGGAAGAGUGAGUGAUGUGUAUCAGUUAAGUCUGUGGUAAGUGUGGGGUUGGCAUGGGGAGCACGGUGGAGAUGUGUCUUAUCUGUGUCUGUGGCCUUUGUGUGCAUGGUUUCUGUUCACAAGUCAGGAAUUCUGGGACAUGUAACUUUUCCUCAUUACAUGGUGUGGCUUGUAUUUAUGGUGUGUGUUCAUUCAUUGAUUCACCAAGAUUCAGUAAGCAGCUACUCCUGUGUAUCUGGCACUCUUCCAUUGUUCUAGUCUCUGGUAAUGCUGCACAUUCUAGUAGGGGAAGACACAGACUAAACAAAAAUACAAUAAAAAUAUAAUACCUGAGCUGGUGGUAAGUAUAUAAGGGUUGCCAGAAUAAGCGAAGAAAAAUACAGGGCACCCAGUUAAAUUUCAGUUUCAGAUAAACCCAGAAUAAUUUUUUAGUGUAAGUAUUCCCAUGCACUAUUUGGUCGUACUUACUUUUAGUGUAAGUAUGGCCCAUACAAUAUUUGGGACAUACUGAUACUGAAAAAUUACUUGUUGUUUAUCUGGAAUUCAAAUUGAACUGGAUAGCCCAUAUUUUAUCUGGCAACCCUGACAUGGGUUAGUGAGACUGUGGUUCACUGUGGUUUGUACAAAGCGGGUCUGGCAUUACUCAAGAAUGUGUUACAAGUGUGGUGUGUAUGACACGUGACUGGUUCUUAUAGAGGUAUUUAGAGAUGGCUGAAGUUAGCUGUGUUUGUGCGAGAGUUGAGGAGAUACUUAUAUAUAUAUAGUGUGUGUGUCUAUAUACAUAUCUCAUCUCCAGCGUUUGGUGUUGGAGGAGAGGAUUGUGAUCCAGGUGGGUUGUAUGAGAACGUAGUACAGGAGGGAUGCGUGUAUAUACCUCCAUGUGCUGUGUGUGGUUUAAUACGGAAGUUAUAUGUGGGGUGUGUGAUAUUUUUGCUGUAUCAGAGUGUCCAUGGGUGUAUGAGUUACUGUCUCAUAAAACACCCCUACCAAGAGUUCUGUAUACACUCUUACAUACACCGAGUGUCAGCCAGGUCCAGGCAGGGUGACAAGAACUGUACCACGCAGAGUUUAUAUCUGAUAAGCACUCUACCCCCAUUCAUCCUGCUCUUCUCUGCACUACCACACACACACACGCACACACGCUCACACACACACACACAGGAACAUAGAGAAAAAUAUUCUGAAUGGUCAGGGGCAGUCAUUGCCUUCCCCAGCCUGUUCCAGCCACUGCCUGGAAAUCUGCCUGCUGUUUAGAGCUCCAUUCCCAGGGCCCAUCCUACAGUCUCCAGGGUCCUGGGCCUGGUAGGAGCUCCUGGGCUCUAAUCUGGGGCAGAGACCUCUAGCUGGAACUCUGGGGUGACCACCCCCUCCCAGGGCAAGCUACUCGCCUACAUUUAAUGCACGCAGGCACCACGUGGCCCGUGGCACUCAGAGCUCCUCGCAGGACCCUGAGGACAUUUCUCACCCCCGCCCACGUGGUCUCAGUCUCUGGAAAGCCCUUCCCUUCCCUUGAUCUCCUUUGGGAAAUUGUUCCUGUUGAAGGAAUAAAACCUCCUUGCUUUCAAUAUGACACCAUCCCUAGACAAACAAUCUUCUUUCGAACUGCAUUCCACUUGUCAAGAUACUUUUCAACAGGGCCUUCAACUCAUGGGGCUUCUCUUUCCACUUUGGUAAAAGAGGCCAAGCAAGUCAUGGGUCUCUCUCAGCAUCCUUGCAUCCUUCACAUCCCCCACCUCAUGACCCCAGGGAAAGAUCCAAGAGAAUAAGAGAGAAAUCGGGGACUGAGAAAAGCUGCACCUCUAGGUCUGUGCAAGCAGGAUGCAGCCUGCUGUGAGUCCGACAAAGCUCCAGGCCCGGCAGCCCCAGGAGAGAGUCCUCAGAGCAGCGGAGCUGACCUCCCAUCUCCCAGGGGGCAUCUGGCCGUUCUGUGCCGUCUCACACCACAGGGACGCUCCGGAUGGAUACGGCAGCAUCAGUGAGACAAGGUCUCUCGCUCCCUGCUUCACAGGUGACACGUUCUCAGUCCCCUCCUUCUUAGAGAAGGUUCAGUUUGGCAGAAACCCAUGUGCCCCAGCCAAGUUGCCCCCCACAUACCUCCUCCCUUCUCGGCAGUUUCCUGGGACUCUUCAUUUUCCAGAUGUUUCCUCUUUUGUCGCCGUUUCAUCGUACCAACUAGAAGUCUCCCUUAGAAGAUGCCUCAAGAGAUGUCCAACUCCUCCUCUUCGCUACAGGUUGGCCCUUGUUGGCUCUUGGGCAAUCCGUUGAAAUGAUUCAAUACAAAUCAAAAUAGUCAAGUCUCCUAAAUGGCUGAAAACCUUGUACCACUUAGUGAACCAGCAGUGCUGCCUAGUGCUCACCAGGGCUGUUAUGUUUGCAAGGUUGCCAGGCGCACAGCAGGAUUCUGUGACCUCAGUGAUGACAUCAGAGCAUUCUGUUGACCUAGGUUCAGCACAGUCUCUGCAAUAGCACAGGCCCCGUUUUCAAGAACAAUUCCUGUUUCCCAGCUGAACCUUUCCCAUGAAAGGGAAAGGUUCAUACCACAUCUAUUAUAAAUUGUAUCAUACCAUAUCUAUUAUAAAAUGAACAUUUUGACUGGAGAUCUUUUAAUGUCUUAUAUAGAGAUUUAAUAUGAAUAUUUUAAAUGGUCUCCAGUUUCCCUGUGGAUUAUUGACAUUUUAAACUCUGCGCUUCAAUUUUCCCUCAAUACCUGUAAUUUUGUCACGGCUAUUUCUGUACUUAAAGAUGAGAAACUAUAUAAUUGAUUUCUUCAUUUUUUCCCAUCUCUUUCCAAGGUACUGAAUUUGAUUGUAUCUUACGAAUGAGUGAAAAAUGCUAGUCCUUGAGUCAGGACAUUGGGCCCUUUACCAAGUAACUCAACCUGUCUGGGCUAUAGCUUCUGUCUGUGCGAUCGAGAGGCUUGGCCUAGCUGACUUUUCAAAUGCUGUGUUUCUUUGAUUCACUCUCACGUACUGAUCUGCUACUUAAGAAGAGGGCCUGUUCU